rnacentral:rRNA from 2 species
CGGAUUGAUACUAAGCCAUGCGAGUCAUUGUAGUAAUACAGGGCAGACGGCUCAGUAACGCGUAGUCAACCUAACCUAUGGACGGGAAUAACCUCGGGAAACUGAGUAUAAUGCCCGAUAGAACAUUAUGCCUGGAAUGGUUUAUGUUCCAAAUGAUUUAUCGCCGUAGGAUGGGACUGCGGCCUAUCAGUUUGUUGGUGAGGUAAUGGCCCACCAAGACUAUUACAGGUACGGGCUCUGAGAGGAGUAGCCCGGAGAUGGGUACUGAGACACGGACCCAGGCCCUAUGGGGCGCAGCAGGCGAGAAAACUUUGCAAUGUGCGAAAGCACGACAAGGUUAAUCCGAGUGGUUUCUGCUAAAGGAACCUUUUGUUAGUCCUAGAAACACUAACGAAUAAGGGGUGGGCAAGUUCUGGUGUCAGCCGCCGCGGUAAAACCAGCACCUCAAGUGGUCAGGAUGAUUAUUGGGCCUAAAGCAUCCGUAGCCGGCUCUGUAAGUUUUCGGUUAAAUCUGUACGCUUAACGUACAGGCUGCCGGAAAUACUGCAGGGCUAGGGAGUGGGAGAGGUAGACGGUACUCGGGAGGAAGGGGUAAAAUCCUUUGAUCUUUCGAUGACCACCUGUGGCGAAGGCGGUCUACCAGAACACGUCCGACGGUGAGGGAUGAAAGUUGGGGGAGCAAACCGGAUUAGAUACCCGGGUAGUCCCAACCGUAAACUAUGCAAACUCAGUGAUGCACUGACUUGUGGUCAAUGCAGUGCUGCAGGGAAGCCGUUAAGUUUGCCGCCUGGGAAGUACGUACGCAAGUAUGAAACUUAAAGGAAUUGGCGGGGGAGCACC